GACAGAGGGUGCAAACGUUGUUCGGAAUUACUGGGCGUAAAGCGCGUGUAGGCGGCCCUGCAAGUCGGAUGUGAAAGCCCUGGGCUUAACCUAGGAAGUGCAUUCGAAACUGCAGGGCUUGAGUUCUGGAGAGGAAGGCGGAAUUCUCGGUGUAGAGGUGAAAUUCGUAGAUAUCGAGAGGAACACCGGUGGCGAAGGCGGCCUUUUGGACAGUGACUGACGCUGAGGAGCGAAAGCAUGGGGAGCGAACAGG
rnacentral:rRNA from 1 species